rnacentral:rRNA from 1 species
GAUGAACGCUAGCGGCAGGCUUAACACAUGCAAGUCGAAGGGUAUAGUUCUUCGGAACUAGAGACCGGCGCACGGGUGCGUAACGCGUAUGCAAUCUACCUUUCACAGAGGGAUAGCCCAGAGAAAUUUGGAUUAAUACCUCAUAGUAUAAUGAGUUGGCAUCAACACAUUAUUAAAGUCACAACGGUGAAAGAUGAGCAUGCGUCCCAUUAGCUAGAUGGUAAGGUAACGGCUUACCAUGGCUACGAUGGGUAGGGGUCCUGAGAGGGAGAUCCCCCACACUGGUACUGAGACACGGACCAGACUCCUACGGGAGGCAGCAGUGAGGAAUAUUGGACAAUGGGCGCAAGCCUGAUCCAGCCAUGCCGCGUGCAGGAUGACGGUCCUAUGGAUUGUAAACUGCUUUUGUACAGGAAGAAACACUGGUUCGUGAACCAGCUUG